ACGAACGCUGGCGGCGUGCUUAACACAUGCAAGUCGAACGGUGAAGCUCCAGCUUGCUGGAGUGGAUCAGUGGCGAACGGGUGAGUAACACGUGAGCAACCUGCCCCAGACUCUGGAAUAAGCGCUGGAAACGGCGUCUAAUACUGGAUACGAGAUCAAGCCGCAUGGUUAUGGUCUGGAAAGUUUUUCGGUUUGGGAUGGGCUCGCGGCCUAUCAGCUUGUUGGUGAGGUAAUGGCUCACCAAGGCGACGACGGGUAGCCGGCCUGAGAGGGCGACCGGCCACACUGGGACUGAGACACGGCCCAGACUCCUACGGGAGGCAGCAGUGGGGAAUAUUGCACAAUGGGCGAAAGCCUGAGGCAGAGACGCCGCGUGAGGGAUGACGGCCUUCGGGGUGUAAACCUCUGUCAGCAGGGAAGAAGCGAAAGUGACGGUACCUGCAGAAGAAGCACCGGCUAACUACGUG
rnacentral:rRNA from 1 species